GCCAUGAUCGUAUAGUGGUUAGUACUCUGCGUUGUGGCUGCAGCAAUCUUGGUUCAAAUCUGAGUCAUGGCA
rnacentral:tRNA from 1 species